AGUCUAUAUCUGAUCUGGAAAUCAGUUGAGGAAACGUUGUAAAGUAAAUCUGGUUGCAUACCAAGCACUCCAGUUUCCAACUGAAAUUUCUGUGAGAUGUUCAGUUAUCAUGCAUUUACCACACAAGACACAGAAGGCAAAGGGAGUGGACUGGGAGAAUGAAGUGUCACCCGCUGUAGGAGAAGAUCAGGUCUGAGACCAUCUAAGGAACCUGAAGGUGAACAAGUCCAUUGGACCUGAUGAGAUAGAUGCAUCCAAAGGUCCUGAGGGAACUGGCAGAUGAAGUUGGUAAUAAGAAUGACAGAAACAUCUUCAUUUUACAACAUCAUACAGAGGGCUGGGAAAUUCUGAAUACUGCUCCACCUCUGAGCUCUGCUAGGCUUGGGCCAUCUGUAAGGACUAUAUUUGAUAAACAUUAUCUUAGAGCCUGCGCAGUUAAACCUUUCACAGCUUUGGUUUCUUGAUAUGAAAAAAUUAGAUGCCACUUGUGAGAGGAGGUGUAGGCGUUCAUCUCUUCUUGGAUCUUAUUCCAGACUUCUUAAGGUAACUAUCUAAAAUAACGUGAAAGAAUCAUUUUUGCAACUAUUUCUCUCCAUUGUUUAUAGAGGGAGCCUAGGUAACCAAUUUAGACUAUGUGACCACAUUUAGACAAUUGAAGAGAUAUGUCUUAAUAGAUGCUUAAUUUUUAGAUGGCCAAAGAUAUCAGCCUAAUAUUUAACUACUCAGCAAGCUGCGUGGAGAGGAAUAUUUUUCUCUGAAAAAUAGAAACAUAUUAUUUUCAAAUGCAGAAGCUUAUUGACGCAAGAGUCUAAGCAGGAGAUACUGUAAACAGUAACUAUGGAGACAUGCAUUUGAAACAAUACAUUAAUGUCUAGUGAUUGUACAAAUACAUAUUCUUGGACAGCAAAAAUCCAACUCAAACCGAUGGAGGGGGGAGUCAAAAAUGUAGAAAUGCCUUGCAUAAACAGCAACAGUACGUAAGCAUGAAACUUGGCAAGUCUGUUCCCAUUAUCACAUAGAUUGUGUUUAAAGAACACUUAGAAAUUAGGUACUCUCUUGUUAAGUCUCCAAGGCAUUCCUUCCUUUUUCAGAGCUCAUUUAAGUUACAAACUCUAUACAUACUAUACAAUGUAGUAUCUUCUAUUUUUCAAAAUAUAACCUCAGAUACACAUCUUUUUCCCAUGAGGACAGAGUCCCAACAACGAAGCUAAGUAGUCUUACUGACUCUCUCUUACUAUCUCAGUGCACUAUUUUAGACACCAAACAAUUUAACAGGAGUAAUAAAGGGGCACUGUUCUGGAAGAUGAGGCUUGAAUCCCUUUUUACAAGAGCCAGCUCAUGUUGUCACAGCUGUGCUGAACUUGAGUUAAGGGGAGUAAUAAAGCAGUGGCUACUGCUAAAUAAAAGUCAGCCUGGGCAUGACCCAAGGGCCAGGUUGAAGUGAUCAGCUGUGCUCUCAUGGUCUAAAGGACCUUUUUUUUUUUUUUUUUU